UCUGGCUAUCAAGACUCUUGAAAUGUGGAUGGUUUGCUAAAUGGACACAGAAUUGUUCAUUUAGAGCGAGAUGGUAUUCAUUCACAGUAAAUUCUCACCUUCCUAAUAGUUUUCCCAUAUACUGUAGUCUGGUAUCCACCCGAAGAGAUUUUAUGUUGUGGAUGUGUUGAUUUCCCUACUUUUGUACCAUACUAACAAGCCUCAUUUCUCCCUUGGGUUCAGUUGCCUACGCCACCUAAAAUAGAGUUCUCUCCACUUCAAGCUUGGAACUCAGGAGUACAGAAGUCUAUCCAUGCACUCUCCGUAGCUCCAACCAGAGCAACCGAAUACACCAGCCAAGGUGUGCAAUACCUGAAAGAUCUCACCAAGUGAAGACUGUAUUUUCCCUCUGACACUCGUUCAGGUUCUUUUUGCUCAAGCUUAUUGAGUUAUAUUACCAUUCAGAAAGCCCCGUCCCCUUUCACUCAAUACAGUGUACAAGUGACUUAUUUAUAAUUGAAUUCAUUGGAUACUUCUCUACUGGGAUUAGAUGAAUACAAAAUUCUCUACAGUAUUUGCUCACAAUUUGCCUUGGGGGAAAUU